GAAAUAACAUUUUCAUAAUUAAACAACAACAACAAAAAAACCAUUUCUCCCCCUCAAAGAACUACUAUAUAUAGUCACAGUCACUUAAAUUGGGCAAAGGAAUA